rnacentral:rRNA from 1 species
GACAGAGGGUGCAAACGUUGUUCGGAAUUACUGGGCGUAAAGCGCGUGUAGGCGGCUUCGCAAGUCGGGUGUGAAAUCCCACGGCUCAACCGUGGAAGUGCAUUCGAUACUGAGAGUCUCGAGUCCGAGAGAGGUGAGUGGAACUGCGAGUGUAGAGGUGAAAUUCGUAGAUAUUCGCAAGAACACCAGUGGCGAAGGCGGCUCACUGGCUCGGUACUGACGCUGAGGUGCGAAAGCGUGGGGAGCAAACAGG